CGCCUCCUGGGCACCCGCCGAGCCGAGUUCACCGCAGGCCUCGGCCCGGACCCGUCCCCGGACCGCCGGCUCGCCGGGCAAGCGCUGGGACCCCGAGGCCAGUCCAGGCAUCUGGAUCUCCGACACAGAGGCAGCCACGCAGUGAUUCCCUGGCGACCCUCAGACUCACGUGUUCAGCCCGGACACUCCGCAGGCUAUCUUCACCGCGUCCCGCGGCAGCCCAGCCUUCCCCGCAGCCGCCUCCGCCCACUCGCCCGCG
rnacentral:lncRNA from 1 species